UUAACCCAACCACUGGGUUGAGGCUGUUUAACCCUGUAUUAUGUAUAUUCAACCCAUAUUGGGUUACUUACAGUAACCCAGUAGUUGAGUUAAUGGUUUUGGACUGUGCCUUGAUCUGAAUAACCCAACCAAUGAUCAUUUUAACCCAGUGGUUUGGUUUGGGAUCCUCCUCCAACGGUCUUUUUCUUUUCCUCCGAGGCGGGAGAACACUUUUGGAAACGCUGAAGCGAUUGAAUAUGGAGGACUUUGUUAAACUAAAGUUAACAGAACGGCAACUUCUUGAGCUGAUUGACACUUUUGCAGAUUGUGCAGGACUUCGAGGUUCUUCAUAAAGAGGCAUCAGACUAAAUGUUUGAUCUGGAGGAGGUUCAGCGAGAAGCUUGUUCAUGCGGCCCAGCGGGGGGAGCUCCAGGUGCAGACCGAGUCUUUGUCUCGAGGCUCCAAAGACUACAUUGCCCUGAUGGUUCUGCCAGGCCUGAUUCCACCUGCAGUCUUCAGGAUGGGCCGAAAGACCGUGAGGACUACAGUGUCUGACGCCAUGAAGGCCUUCAUCGAUCUUAAGCCUGUUUGAGCCAACAUGGUGGAGUACCUUCAGGCAGCAGAGCAGACCAGGCCAUACCCCUGCACCCUGGUGUUGGGAGGCGAGGACUGCUGCUCUCAGGCAUUCACCGUUCCCAGUGGGCCGGCCCUGGAGCACGACAGCGUUGUCCAAGCUGUACAUGUUUGUGUCAAAUGUUUUUAUGUGUUUAUCAAUUUCCCAAAGCAGUGUUUCUC